GAUCCUGGCUCAGGAUGAACGCUAGCUACAGGCUUAACACAUGCAAGUCGAGGGGCAGCAUGAACUUAGCUUGCUAAGUUUGAUGGCGACCGGCGCACGGGUGAGUAACACGUAUCCAACCUGCCGUCUACUCUUGGACAGCCUUCUGAAAGGAAGAUUAAUACAAGAUGGCAUCAUGAGUCCGCAUGUUCACAUGAUUAAAGGUAUUCCGGUGGACGAUGGGGA
rnacentral:rRNA from 1 species